rnacentral:lncRNA from 1 species
UAAGUCGUAGGACCGGCCGAUCCUACGCCUAGGGCCGUGUCCCCCCUAGGAAGGGACUGGGCUCCGCCCACCCAGAAGGCUACUAUGUGCACAAAUGCCGAUGUUCAACCCCAUCGACUAUAGGUGUCCUGCAGAUACUACCAAGCCAUGUAUAAAUGCCAUAAUGCACCCUCCCAAUACUCUACUAAAAAGGAGUAUGAUCAAGACUACCACUCACUCGAUCAUGACCCAAUCAUAAACUAACAUCAGGGUUAGGAGUGAGGGUCAAGAAAGUGCAAUACAACUCAAUAUACCACUAAGAAGGCUCUACAAAUCUUUGAAAUGGAGGAAAUGAAAUCAAUUUACAAAAGAAGUUAUUUCACAAUUUGGAACCAAUUUAAUUACUCAUAAAAGAGUAUAAUCAAGCUACGACUCACAAGUCUUUAAAAUAGAGGAAAUGAAAUCAAUUUACAAA